rnacentral:lncRNA from 1 species
ACUAUAUAUUAAAACCAUUGCGCUUGUACACACAUCCUCCCUUUGGGAUGCCCAGCUGACUUUUCCUAGCAUCCAGGCUACUUAUAUCUCUUGUAUAGUAAGACAGAAAAAUGUAAUUGAAUAUAUGCAGUAAAAGGAAGAAGACUUGACAACAGGAUAGAUGUACUGUGAGUCUCUUUAUCUACAGUCAUUAUACAAUUAUUAUGUAUUACUGCAAGAACUUUUAAAAAGUAAAUCAUAGUUUUAGACUUAAAGAAAUAGUUGUUUAAAACCUUCAAGGUCUUAAGUAAAAUUGUAGAAAAAUCUUGCUCUUGUUUUAGCCAGAAAACGUUCAAGAAAGUUGCUUUGUCAUGGCUGUCUAUUUUCCUGUUGCUUUAGGGCCAGAAGAAGGGUUUACACCUUUGUAAUUUAGAUUUUAUGUCAAAGUUUCUGAAAUAGUGCAUUGGAAUUGAGCCCACAGAAUGGUAUAUAUUUUGUGGAAACGGGACAGCUCGGAAACUAGAGAUCAAAGGAAGAUGUUCUUCCUUAUCUGAAAUAUGAACCUGCAAGUUAGGCUCACUGAGCUUUCUCCAUAGUGGGGAGAGGGAGGCUUCUCUAGAGCUGCCUGAAGCGUCACGCUCUGUGCUGCACUGUGCC